rnacentral:misc_RNA from 1 species
GAAAUGCGAUAAGUAGUGUGAAGUGCAGAAUUCAGUGAAUCAUCGAAUCUUGGAACGCACAUUGCGCCCCUCGGUAUUCCGUGGGGCAUGCCUGUUCGAGCGUCAUCUACACCCUCAAGCUCUGCUUGGUGUUGGGCGUCUGUCCCGCCUCCUUCGCGCGCGGACUCGCCCCAAAUCCAUUGGCGGCGGCCCUUGCCUCCCUCUCGCGCAGCACAUUGCGCUUCUCGAGGCGCGGCGGACCGCGUCCAGCAAGCAACCGUCACACCGUCUUUGACCUCGGAUCAGGUAGGGAUACCCGCUGAACUUAAGC